rnacentral:rRNA from 1 species
UACGGGAGGCAGCAGUCGGGAAUCUUGCACAAUGGGCGAAAGCCUGAUGCAGCAACGCCGCGUGAGGGAUGAAGGCCCUCGGGUCGUAAACCUCUGUCGGAAGGGAAGAAAGUAUUUUGGGUUAAUAUCCCAGAGUAUCGACGGUACCUUCAAAGGAAGCGCCGGCUAACUCCGUGCCAGCAGCCGCGGUAAU